UACACUCCUGCGGGAGGCAGCAGUGGGGAAUUUUGGACAAUGGGCGAAAGCCUGAUCCAGCAAUGCCGCGUGAGUGAAGAAGGCCUUCGGGUUGUAAAGCUCUUUUGUCAGGGAAGAAACGGUGAAAGCUAAUAUCUUUUGCUAAUGACGGUACCUGAAGAAUAAGCACCGGCUAACUACGUGCCAGCAGCCGCGGUAAUACGUAGGGUGCAAGCGUUAAUCGGAAUUACUGGGCGUAAAGCGUGCGCAGGCGGUUUUGUAAGUCUGAUGUGAAAUCCCCGGGCUCAACCUGGGAAUUGCAUUGGAGACUGAAAGGCUAGAAUCUGGCAGAGGGGGGUAGAAUUCCACGUGUAGCAGUGAAAUGCGUAGAUAUGUGGAGGAACACCGAUGGCGAAGGCAGCCCCCUGGGUCAAGAUUGACGCUCAUGCACGAAAGCGUGGGGAGCAAACAGGAUUAGAUACCCCGGUAGUCCCAUGA
rnacentral:rRNA from 1 species